GUUUAGCCCUGAUUGAAAUGGCAUCCUUUUUUUUUCAUAAAAAAAGAUAUAAUGGAAAGCAGGAAAUGGC
rnacentral:sRNA from 1 species